AGAAAUAGGUAAAGGGCUGAUAGCAACUCAUUACUUGAUGUGGUACGAGAGCCUUAGUUCUAUGCAAAGAUAAAUGGAGAAGCGUUUUUUUCAUGGAUAAUUUUACAUGGCUUUAGAGACACAGAAACAGAUAAAUUAUUACAUGUAUAAAAAUUUUAGUAAAAUUGACAUUUUAAAUACAUGCUUAUAGAUUAUUGGUAUUUAAUUGAAGGUACAGUACAGAAGAGAUAGAAAAAUAAAUUUUGCCCCACUCUGAAAUUGAAGACUGACCUCUGAGCAUGUCCGCUGAGACACAGUAUUCUCCUGUGAUCUGGGACCCAGAAUAACAGGAAAGAGAAACUGAUAGAUGUUUUCAUCAGCCCAAGGAUGUAUGUAUCUUACUUGAGUGAAUUCAACAGUCCCAGGACCACUGUAGUGCUGUAGGUCUGUGUAAAGAAAUGUAGUGACAGCACAUUAACCUGAGAUCAUUGAUACCAUCUUGGUUCAGCCUCAGUUCCCCAGAUAAGUGAACAAAUGAACAAAAAUGCACUUCAGAAAUAUUGAAAUUCCAAGGCACUAUUUCAUGGACAGUGCUGAACAAGUAUAGUUUGGCCUAUUGGUAUGUAUAGACUUAGAUCAUAUUUAUUGUCAAUGGGCUUGAAUUCUGAUUUCCACUUUUGAAAGUUUAUUUCACUAUGUAUCAUUACAUUUUAUUGGGACCUUGUGAAAACUACCUGCCAUGAAAUACUGGAUUUUCACAUAAUUUAGAAAAAAUUUAGAAUGUUUUAUGCCUCAGAAUGGUCAGGAACUUCCCAUUUCUUCCCACAGCUUCUAUAAAAAAAAUUUAAAAGGAAGGAGGAGCUGAAAUAGGGGCUAUGGUCUUUUAAACUUAUAAAUCUGGAAUUUUUAAUAUUUCAUUUUAAGGCCUUAAACCGAAACACAAGCUACUAAUCAGUCUUUCUAAAUCUGACCUUCAUUGAAAGCAACUCAGAAAUUAAUAAUUUGUGCUGUGGCUUCAAGUUUAAAUAGAUUGUUUGAAGAGAAAUCAUAUGUCAGGGUUUGCAGGAUUACAGGAUUUCUAACUUAAACCCCCAAGAACAAUGAAAAAGUUGACGUACAUGUCACUAUGAAUAGGCACCUUCUGUUGGAUCUCUGUGUCCAUUUAGAGAUGAGCUACAAGUUGACAAGAAAAAUAGGAGCAGUUUUUUUUUUCUUUUUAAACCUAGUCACCAAAUGGUAAAAGGACUUGGAUGAAAUUCCAAUACCAGUGUGAGAUUCUGGAUUUAGAAUAAGGUUUUAUAACCUUAGGCAUGUCAUUCUUCUACUUCUCAUUUUUCCCUAAUAAAACUUAUUCUCUCUUCCAUAAUAUCAUAUAUAUGGUCACAUUACUUCAGGAAUAUUUAUAUUACCUCCUCCAAAACUGAAAGAAAAUAAACUUUAGGCUGUAAGAGUUGAGAAUUAUGCAUACAGGGCUCACAGGCGGAGUUGGACAAUAUGCUGAUGGAUCAAGACAUACUGCAACCACAAAGUUCCAUCUCACUUAGAUGUGGAUGAAAAAAGAUCUCUUGCUAAAUUAUUUUCUGUGACCUUAAAAGAAAUUUGUUUCACUUUUCAUCUUUCAAGGGUCAUCUUGAUAGUUACCUUAACAAACCUUUCUCAGCUAUUUAUUAUUGAGAAAGCCCAUUCUUAAAUUUUAAGUCACAAAAUUAUAGUUGUCCACUCUACUAUGACUGAAAGAAGCAGCAUUCAAGAAAAAAUUUAAACAUAGUUACCAAGAAAUGUGAAGAAGUAUUUAUAAAAGGAAGCUACAUAAGUAGGUAAUUUUACUCUUUCUUAACCAGUUUAAAACAGUAAAGCACACCUGCAUCUAAUCACAAUGUUAGGCGAACAACUUAAAACAUGAUCAGCCUGUAUGAGAACUGGGAUAUUGUUACAUAUUCAGCCUGUAUGAGAACUGGGAUAUUGUUGUUACAUGUAUUUGUAUAAACAUUAGGAGAUGAUUUCCAUGGCUUUUUUUUUUUUUUUUUUAGGAAGUCUUGCUCUGUUGCCCAGCUGGAGUGCAGUGAUGUGAUCUCGGCUCACUGCAACCCCUGCUUCCCAGGUUCAAGCGAUUCUCCUGCCUCAGCCUCCCCAGUAGCUGGGAUUACGGGCACACCACCAUGCCCAGCUUUUAUUUAUUUAUUUAUUUAUUUUGGAUUUUUAGUAGAGAUGGGGUUUUGCCCUGUUGGCCAGGCUGGUCUUGAACUCCUGACCUCAAGUGAUCCGCCCUCAUUGGCCUCCCAAAGUUCUGGGAUUACAGGUGUGAGAGCUGCCGCGCCUAGCCCUUCAUGAGGUUUUAUAGUGAAUGAAUUAUUUUUCUAUAAAGUUUAUCAAUAUUUAUUUUGGAAAGCUGCUGAAAAUGUCUUUUUCAAAAUUAAUUAUGCUUAAGAUGUAUGGCAUUAAAUUCAAUUUUAUGAGGCUUUCUGACAUAUUUACUAAAAAAACCUGGAACUGAGACUGAAUUUGGAAGACAUUUAAUUUUGUAGUGAGAUAUCUAUAUUGUAGAUAUUGUACUUUUAAAACCUGUCAUUAAGUGUUUGGCAUGUGGUUAAUACUUUCUCUUUAGUCACAACUGGUAUUUUAAUAAAUGUUAUAAACGUAAGUGCCAAGAUAUGCAUCACUAACUGUUCUAUGAAAUUUGUCUACUUCUCCUUUAUGUUCCCAAAGUCACAGAGAAAGCAGUGUACUUUAUGACAGUAUAUUUAUCUUUUUAUCAUUAUGAAUUAUAAGCAGUGUUAAUUUUGAGAAAUAAAAGUCCAAAAAGAAUUAUUAUGAGUUUAAGUUACUUUAGGAUUAUAUCUGUUGUAUGGUAAAUAAAAUAA
rnacentral:lncRNA from 1 species